AGUGGCGGACGGGUGAGUAACGCGUGAGAAUCUGCCUUGGGGUCGGGGACAACCACUGGAAACGGUGGCUAAUACCGGAUAAGCCGAUUGGUGAAAGAUUUAUUGCCCGAAGAGGAGCUCGCGUCUGAUUAGCUAGUUGGUGAGGUAAGAGCUCACCAAGGCAGCGAUCAGUAGCUGGUCUGAGAGGACGAUCAGCCACACUGGGACUGAGACACGGCCCAGACUCCUACGGGAGGCAGCAGUGGGGAAUUUUCCGCAAUGGGCGAAAGCCUGACGGAGCAAGACCGCUUGAGGGAGGAAGGCUCUUGGGUUGUAAACCUCUUUUCUCAGGGAAGAAGCUCUGACGGUACCUGAGGAAUCAGCCUCGGCUAACUCCGUGCCAGCAGCCGCGGUAAUACGGAGGAGGCAAGCGUUAUCCGGAAUUAUUGGGCGUAAAGCGUCCGCAGGUGGCGAUUCAAGUCUGCUGUCAAAGCACGGGGCUUAACUCCGUAAAGGCAGUGGAAACUGAAUAGCUAGAGUGCCGUAGGGGUAGAGGGAAUUCCCGGUGUAGCGGUGAAAUGCGUAGAGAUCGGGAAGAACAUCGGUGGCGAAAGCGCUCUACUGGACGGCAACUGACACUCAGGGACGAAAGCUAGGGGAGCGAAUGGGAUUAGAUACCCC
rnacentral:rRNA from 1 species